GGACUUAAAACCUGAACUGGCUAUUGCCAUCAGGUAGCAGUGAAAACUGCGGGAGAAUGAAAAUCCGUUGACCGUAAAAG
rnacentral:tRNA from 3 species